UACGAAGGGUGCAAGCGUUACUCGGAAUUACUGGGCGUAAAGCGUGCGUAGGUGGUUUGUUAACUCUGAUGUGAAAGCCCUGGGCUCAACCUGGGAAUUGCAUUGGAUACUGGCAAGCUAGAGUGCGGUAGAGGAUGGCGGAAUUCCCGGUGUAGCAGUGAAAUGCGUAGAGAUCGGGAGGAACAUCUGUGGCGAAGGCGGCCAUCUGGACCAGCACUGACACUGAGGCACGAAAGCGUGGGGAGCAAACAGG
rnacentral:rRNA from 1 species